rnacentral:tRNA from 1 species
GGUGAUAUAGCUUAGUGGUAGAGUGCUAGCAUACAUAGGCCCUGGGUUCAAUCCCCAGCACUG